rnacentral:rRNA from 1 species
UACGUAGGCAGCAAGCGUUGUUCGGAGUUACUGGGCGUAAAGGGCGCGUAGGCGGCUUUUUAAGUUUGGUGUGAAAUCUCCCGGCUCAACUGGGAGGGUGCGCCGAAUACUGAGAGGCUAGAGUGUGGGAGAGGAGAGUGGAAUUCCUGGUGUAGCGGUGAAAUGCGUAGAUAUCAGGAGGAACACCGGUGGUGUAAACGGCUUUCUGGACCAUAACUGACGCUGAGGCACGAAAGCGUGGGUAGCAAACAGG